AUGCAUUUUCAUGACAGAGAUAAUAUUGAAAGGAGUAUGAUGAUGUCAGACAUCACAUAUUACAAUUUGGUAGCACUUAUGGAGACAGAAGGGUAUGGUUUUAGAGAUUAUAUGUAUUAUGUGAGGGACCCUGGGCUAGGGAUUGAAGGAAUGGAAGAAAUAGAUGAUGAUGAUAAGUUAGAGGAAAUUUUAGACCACAUAGCAGAGCAGAAUAACAAGAUAUUGAAUGUGACAAUAGUUAGGGCCAGUGCAGAGAAAGUUCCCAAUAUAAAUACCAGUGUUAAUGUCAUUGAGAUGCAGACCCCAAUAGAACAAAUUGGAGAGCCCAAACUGUAUCAGAUUGAUGAUGAAGGAGUGUUGUUCAAUGCUGAAAAUGUGCAUGUAGAAGCUGAGAGUUGUGAUGCAGGAGGAGAACAAGAGCCAAUGCCCUUGCAGUUUGACACACAGCAGAGCAGAAUAAAUGUGAGCCUGAAACCUGCUUUAGGUGAUGCAGUAGUGGAAGAAUACCAUGUGACUGACAAUUCAGAGGAGCAACUGUUAAUAGAGCAAGAAAUGGAGGAGAAAAGGAGAAAUGAAAUUGAAAUGUUUAGGAAGAAGAAGAAGGAAAGAGCGAAGGAGACUUGUUUGAACAGGAAAGCAGCAGUGAUGGACAAUGAAGAGGAUAGUGAUGAUGAUGAUCUGGUAGAAUAUGGUGAUAUCUUAGCUAGGCUUGAGGAGAUGAGAAGACAGAGGAAUGACCCAGAACUUCAUUUUGAAGGGGACACAGAUGUUGAGGAAAUGUGUGACUCAGAGGUGGAUGAUGAGCUGUAUGUGCCACAAGGUGAAGAAGAGGAUGUAGAGGAGGAAGAGGAGGAGGAAAUGGAGGAAGAGGAACAAGAGGAUGAGCUAGGGCAAGAUGUACCAAACAAGAGAAGGGCCAAGAGACAAAGAAAAGGCCCAACAAGCAAUUCACAUGGGAGUAUAGAAGACAUGUUUGAGGAGGACUGGAUUCCAUCAUCUGAUGAGGACAAGAAACCACAAGACCUUGGUGUGGAAGAUGAUGAUGGUGCUGAGGCAUUGGCAUAUGUGUUGCCCAAUGGUAGAAAAAGUAGAGCAAAGAAGAUGAAGAAGAGGUUAUGGUUUGAUGAGCACAGAGCUCAUCCAGAGGAGCAAUUUGUGAAGCAUCUUUGCUUCUUAAAUGUGUACCAGUUUAGAACUGCACUUCAAACCCUGCACAUUGCUCAAAACAGGAACUUUGUCUACCAUAGAAACUGUAGUGAUAGGGUGAUAGCACAGUGCAUAGAUGAGCAAUGUCCCUUCUAUAUAGCAGCUUCUCAGAUUGCAAAUGAGAAGUCAUUUACAAUUAGGAAGUUGUAUUUAGUGCACACAUGCUCUUCUAUGUCAGAGAACACUAAAGUCACUGCUAAGUGGGUUUCAAAAUUCUGUGAGGAGGCUAUCAGAAAUGACCCAUGCACAACAAUCACAAGUAUUAUUAAUACUGCAAAGAGCAAGUAUGGUGUGGACAUACCAACACACAUGGCAUACAGGGCAAAGAGGGCAGCAAAGGAUGUUGUGUUAGGAGACCAGAAAGCCCAGUACACCAGGAUUAGGGAUUAUUUACAGGCUGUGUUGGAUACAAAUCCAGGUUCAAGAUGCAUUGUGACAACAAGAUAUCUGAAGGAGCAUCCAAGCACUAACCCUAGGUUUCAUGCACUGUUCAUAUGCUUGAAUGGAUGCAAAGAAGGGUUUCUCAAUGGCUGCAGACCAUUCAUAGGUCUAGAUGGUUGUUUCAUCAAGCUCACUACUGGUCAACAAAUUCUAGCUGCAACUGGAAGAGAUGGGAACAAUAAUAUUUUUCCCAUUGCUUUUGGAAUUGUUGAUAAGGAGGACACUAACUCCUGGACCUGGUUUUUAUACCAGUUGAGACAAGCAUUAGGUGGAGAAUCUGGGAAGUUUGGGAACUACACAAUAAUUUCAGAUAGGCAGAAGGGCCUUUUAAAAGCCAUUACCAGAGUGUUUCCCAAUUGUCCCCAAAGGUUUUGUCUUAGACAUAUCUACCAGAACUUUCAAAAUGCUGGGUUUAGAGGGCCUGAAUUAAAGCAAUACAUGGAUGCAGCUAGUUAUGCAUACACUGAACAUGGUUUUAAAACUGCAAUGGCUGAAUUAAAGAAUGAGAGUGAGGCUGCUUGGGAAUGGCUAAGCAAAAUACCUAAACACACUUGGGCCAGACAUGCAAUGGAUAUGAACUGCAAAACAGACUUAGUUGUUAACAAUCUAAGUGAGGUUUUCAAUAAGUGGGUUCUAGAUGUCAGGGCUAAACCAAUUAGGACCAUGGUGGAUGGAAUUAGGACAAAGUUAAUGGUCAAGUUCAAUGCAAAUAGAACAAAGACUGAGACUGUAAGAUGGGAAAUUUGUCCAACAUAUGCUGAGAAAUUAGAGGAAGCAAAGAAGUUUGCAAGGAACUGUCAUGCUUUGAUGGCUGGGCCUAAUCUUUACCAAGUCACUAGUGGGGAGAGAACUUAUGCUGUGAACCUACAACAUAGGACUUGUGGGUGCAAGAAGUGGGAUAUGACAACAGUUCCUUGCAAUCAUGCUGUUUCUGCCAUACACAAGGCUAAGCUUCAGCCAGAGGACUUUGUUCAUGAUUUCUUCAAAAAAAAGAUGUACCUGGAAGCUUACAGUCCCAUUAUAUAUCCUGUACCUGGACCUGAUAUGUGGCCAAGGACAGACAGUAUGGACAUUGAGGCUCCAGUUUUCAAAGAACACAAGGGAAGGGCACAGACUAAGAGGAGAAAGGGCCAAUAUGAGAAGCCAGCUCCCAAAGACACCUCAAGAAUGGCCUCAAUUACCUGCUCUAAUUGCAAAAAGGUUGGCCAUAGAUACACCAACUGUAAUGUUGCUUUGAAUUCAUCACUGGCAAUGAGAAAGAACAAGCAUGAGCCAAGCAGCAACUCCUAUGAACCUGAUGCAGCCACACCAGCAAGGAGGGCCUCUUCUGCUGCUGGUGCUGCUGCUACUGCACCAUCACCAGCACAGAGGGCAUCUUCUUCUUCUGCUACAGCACCUGGACCAGCAAAGAAGAGGGCCUCUUCUGCUUCUGCAACAACACCUGGACCAGCAAAGAAGAGGGCCUCUUCUUCUUCUGCUACAGCACCUGGACCAGCGAAGAAGAGGGCCUCUUCUUCUUCUGCUGCACCACCAAGGAGGACAACUGCUGGUAGUUCAUCAGCUGCUGCAAAGGGUAAAACGGUAGUAACUAGAUCUUCAGCUGCUGCAAAUGGAGCAAGGGCAUCUUUCUUGCCUCCAAGGCCAACUGGUGUUUCCCAGAGAAUUAGGAAGCCCACCCAGAAAAUUAGAGAUUACUUGACUGCUUCAGGUGCUCCAUGGGAAUGA
rnacentral:rRNA from 1 species